rnacentral:lncRNA from 1 species
GAGUUUUAUUACAUAGUUAUUACAAAACAGAAAGAAAAGGACUGAAAUAAGUACAUCAAAAAUAAAGUCAGACCCGAGGAGGCUCAAUGCAACCUUCAAUAUUCAAUGCAUGUGUCUCACUAAAUACGGAUUCCAGAUUCCAUGGCCUUCUCUUAGAGUGUUCCAAAGUUCCAAGGGCUUUCAGGAAGCCCAGGCAAUGCUUAUACCCUAAAGAUUGAAUGUGGUAACAGAGUAGUGCAAUGUGUGGAAUUACCAGCCAUUAGGCAUCCAAGUUCAGAGGGAACUCUAGGGUCCCUAAGUAUGGCUUACCAUGGGGAGGGGGGCAGAACUUAAAGAACUAAGAAUAAGUGUAAAAUGAGGGGAUUAGAGGAAACCAAAGGAAAGGGUGGUUAUACCCAGCCAUGGGUAAGACUGGCACACCCCGACACUCAACUUGGUUUUCAACAGAUAAAUAGCAGACUUGAGAAGUCAGACAGGGGUCUUGGUGGUGGAUAGGACACCACCAGACUCUAGUCAGGGCUCAAUAUAUAAAGGGGGUUAAGGGAAUGGGAAUGAUUUGAAUAAAGGUUCAAGAGAACCUGGUCCCAGGUCAGGGAUAGAAUUAGGGUGCUACCCCCAGCCUGGAGCCAAUACUCAUAGAUAAAUGGGGGUUAAAGGGAAUAAGAUCACAGGAAAGCACUCAUAUAAACAUCAAGGGUGGAUAAGAAAAGCAUAACAUCACUUUAAAGAUGCAGAAGCAUGAAGAAAGCACAUAACAGACUAAUGUAUAGUCACAUAAUGCAAGAAAGCUAAACAUGUAGUGAGAGGUUAUGCAAAGGGAGAAGUAAACAGAUAGUUUUGGAGAAUAGUAUUUAAAUUAUUAAGACAUACCAGUUGCGAGUUUCAAAUAGAAGAAUAAAUAAUGCAGGAAAUGAGCCACAUAAUUCACUCAAGCUUCAACAAAUACUUGAGAAAACAAGGAGGAUUCUAUAAUCUAGCCUUGGCUUUAAGCCGCAUAGACACAAACAGUAGUACAUGUAGCAGAGAAAAGAAGAGAGCUUAGAAUGUAUGUGUGUUUUUUGAACUCUAAUUGUUCGUUUGUUUGAAGAGAGAGAGUAGGGCAUUUAUAGUUUGAAGACAGGUAGUAAGUAAGGCAAAAAAUAAUUCAUAUCAAAUCACAAUCAAUCAGGAGAAGGGAAUCCCUUUAAUUAAGGAGUCGAACUAGAGUAAUAAAGAGCAGAGUGUAUUAAAGGAAAGAAGAUCAAGAACACAUGGUGAAAUCAAGGGUAAAUACAUAGGAGAUGCUCUUAAAACUGCACGGUUAGGUAAAUAAGGUAAGGGUAAAAUCAAUCAAC